UACGGAGGGGGCGAGCGUUAUUCGGAAUUAUUGGGCGUAAAGGGCGCGUAGGCGGCUCGAUAAGUCAAAGGUGAAAUCCCUCGGCUCAACUGAGGAACUGCCUUUGAAACUGUCGAGCUCGAGUCCGGGAGGGGGUAGCGGAAUUCCCAGUGUAGCGGUGAAAUGCGUAGAUAUUGGGAGGAACACCAGUGGCGAAAGCGGCUACCUGGACCGGAACUGACGCUGAUGCGCGAAAGCGUGGGUAGCAAACAGG
rnacentral:rRNA from 1 species